GGGCGCCAAGUUGACCUUCGAGGAAUUGAAGUGUCACCAAAGUGCAGGUGCCAAGACAAGCCACUCACCGCAGAAGCUGUGGAAGUUGGCACUGUUGGGGACCUGGAAGGAUUCAGUGUGUGGUAAUCUGAAGAAGGUGCCACCAUAGGUGUCAUCAGUCAUCACUUGCCCCAGAAACAGUACCUGAUCAUCCACUUGUAAGUGAAACCUCAAUGUUGCUUUGCGGAGACGCACCAUUUGCGGCCAGCGGCCUACAUCAGUGAAUCUGAUGCGAGCAGUGUCGGAUGGGUGGCAGGUGAGGA
rnacentral:lncRNA from 1 species